UUUUUUUUUCUGUAAAAAAAGGGGGGACGAGGGGGAGGUCUGGGGUGCUGGUGAAGGACCCUUUUGCCUGCUCUCCUGGAGUUGGCGGGGAAGCUACCUAGCCUCGGUCCCGGUCCCCAGGGUCCCUGUUUCCCCCUCUGCUGUCCCGGAGCAGGUGCCGCCAGAAAAGCGCCGGCCCCACAGCCCUUUGAUGAGCUCGCAGCGCCGUCGGUCCGCAGCGCCCCUUUCUCAUGCUAAUGGCCCGCCGUGCUCUCUACGGCUUUCAAGACUAACAGAGAGGCUGACAGUGUCGUCCUCGCAAGGACAGAGCCCGGACGAGCAAUUCCUCCAAAACAGUCUGGGCCCUAAUAAACAAUCUGGUGGGACAUGCAGUAUAGCAUGGCCUCCUUCUCCUCCCAAAGUGUGGAUUCAUUAACCCGUCUCCUUGCUCAUCAUAUCCCCGUAGGGCUAAGAGACGAAUUACUGGAUCUGAAUUGGAAGGGAAUUGCUCUAUGAGGGGGCUAAUGUUUCAAUCAGUUCAUCCUGAAGGACCACACAAAAAGAAACUUUUUAGUUUAUGGUGCUAUUAUGCAGAGUUUUAAUCUAGGGAUAGAUUUAACCAAAUGUUAUCUAUUGGGAAUUUAAUGAAGCCCUUAUGUAUUCAAUCGUCUUUUAUGCCACACACAGUGUCUCUAUCCAGAAACGUUUCCUUCCGCAUAGUUCUUUGUUUCUGAUGGGUGAUUUAUAUAUUUUUAAUUAGGUUUUUAAAAAUUAUUUCUUUUCAAGCAUCUUGUAUAACGUUUCUUUUAAGCAGGACUGUGUUAGGUCCCUUCCCACAUCCCCUAUAAAAGAGGUUUCCUCUUCCCUCCCUGGUUUUGAAGAUGAUUAGUUUGCACGUCCACACACUUCUCCCCACUGGAGCGCUCUCUCUGCCUUGUGCAGAGGCCUUGGUCAUCGUGCCUGCUCUUUCGACACCUCCGUGGGCUGCGAUGGACAGGGUAGCCCGGGGGUCCGGCCGAGCCCCGUGACUCCCGUGCACAGCUCCCCGGCCUCCAAGCUGCUCUCAACACAAACCUUCCCCACCCGCACCUCAUUCGGACCACACCUUCGGUCUGGUUUGUAUUUUAGGUGCCGUGAGAAGCACUCCUGGGGUCACCGGGGAGCACAUCCCCUGCUUGCAGGCAGGUUUCAAAUACCCAGGACCGGCCCCAUCACCAAGUCUGGAAAAUGAAAGAGGGGGGCGAGGCCCUCACCUGCUCUCAGCUGCUCCCUUUCUUGCAGCGCUGGUGGCGCGGGCAGAGCACACGAUCACCCCCGUCGAGAUUGAGGCCUGUUUGGGGGAUCUGUGGGAAAGUGGAUCUGGUUUGACUGUCCCUUGGCACAGCCUGGAGACUCUACUCCGUAUGUAAUACUUUCCCUCAGUACUUACAGUAAGUACUGCAGUAGUUCUGAUAAUAUUGUAUUUGACAGAAAUAAUGGAAAUUAUGAUCGUGGCCAAACCGUCUCUGCUCUGCAACUUGAUAACCAAUGCAGAUCCAUUUUUCAGCUUGUUCACUGUGUCUCCCCCACCUGCAGUGGUAUUUCCCCUGCUUCCCUCGGCGAUGGGCUGCACGCACCAUCAGAACCCAGGCAGCGGCGGGGACCGGCUGCCCCGUGCCCACAGCUGGGUGCAUCCCGAUCAGUCCUUUCUCCUCUGCAACCCUCACCAUGAGAGUCACGUCGAGCAGCGGCCGUUGAGGUCUCUGUUCGCUGCCCCUUCCUGCGCUGCAAAGCACGACCCAGAUGUAGAGGAGACAUUCACGCACAAGUGUGUGUACGUGUAUGCAGGAGAAUGGCACUUCAGAAGGUAACCAGCUGCUGCCGGAUCCACGCUGCGGCAACAACUGUGCUCAGUGCCUCAUUGCACAGAUGGUGCCCGCCGAUUUUGGGGAAAGACGGAAAAAUUAACACGAGUUCCAAGUCGGUAAGCAUCUUGCUCUUGUUUUUAACUUGCGGAAGAACUCUGUUCCCCGCCGCCAGUCUCCGCCUGGAGGUGUACUGCGGGAGCCGGCCCUGGAAACACGCCGGCCCCUUCCCAGCUGCCUGUCUCGGCUCACCGCGCAGUUACCAGCACGACUGAAAACAGCAAAGGCAAAGGCUGCGGGAUUGGGAAGGCGCGCACGGGGAGCCCCUCGGCCAAGCUCACGACCAGCCCGGCUGACGCAGUGCGGGUGGCACCGAGGCCUGUGCGCGGCCGCGCAGCGGGGCAGAGCCUCCGCGGCUUCGGAGGUGCUCCGCCGAGCCCGAUCGUAGGAGCGGGAAGGCACCCGGCAGCGUGUCUGCGGGAAUCACCGCGGGAAGCCCACGGAAGAUGCAUAGCAUACGAAGAUGUGCCCUUAGUGCAGCUCCCCUGCUCCGCCAACUAUCUCAGUGAGAGACACAGAGGCACAGAGAGACCUAUCGGCUAGGCACCGUAAUGCCCAAAAUGAACAAAAACAUAUGGACUGCACUGGACGAAUGGCGCUUUUUUUUUUUUUUUUUUUUAAAGAGCGAUGUCUCAUCAAUUACAGAAAUUCUACCGCUCAGCUGAAUUCAGAAGGAAAUUUGUGGUUGCGGGUUUUUUAUUUUUCUAAUCAAAAUAAUUAAACUUGCCCUUCCUCCAAGCCACAGGAGACCUGUUGAAUUGAUUCUGUUUCCCUUUCGCUGAUGCAGUAAAACGGCAUGCAGAAAUCCGCGGGCCCCCAUAUUUAGAUGAUAGAUUAUGCAAUUUAUGUUAGAAGCAAAAGGAUAAUUAGAUAAUGCAGUUGUUGUAUUAAUUAAUUUCUUGAGACUGGGAAAGUCUUAAGACUUAUCUACGGUCAAUCCAAAGAUAUUUCUGUCCCCUGCGUGGAACAGGAAAACAUGUGAGUGCGUCGAAACGCUUGUGAACAUUGAAGAGUAUGUUCGCACCCGGUGAUAUCACCGUCCAGUGCCCGCACAACUGUAGCACAGCUGCGAUCAUCGCUCCUGCUAAUGCCCAGGCUUUGUCAAGUCCUCUUAAAACUCGUGAAUGUCUCUUCGUACCGCUGUGGUCGUAGGACUGCUUCUCUAGUUUCAUUGCAGGAGAUACAUGCGCACCUGUAUACACGAGAUACAUUAAAUACACACAAUCAAGAUUAA